rnacentral:tRNA from 1 species
GGCGAGAUAGCUCAGUUUGGUAGAGCAACGGACUGAAAAUCCGUGUGUCGACGGUUCGAUCCCGUCUCUCGCCACCA